rnacentral:rRNA from 1 species
AUUGAACGCUGGCGGCAGGCCUAACACAUGCAAGUCGAACGGUAGCACAGAGAGCUUGCUCUCGGGUGACGAGUGGCGGACGGGUGAGUAAUGUCUGGGAAACUGCCUGAUGGAGGGGGAUAACUACUGGAAACGGUAGCUAAUACCGCAUAAUGUCGCAAGAACAAAGAGGGGGACCUUCGGGCCUCUUGCCAUCGGAUGUGCCCAGAUGGGAUUAGCUUGUUGGUGAGGUAAAAGCUCACCAAGGCGACGAUCCCUAGCUGGUCUGAGAGGAUGACCAGCCACACUGGAACUGAGACACGGUCCAGACUCCUACGGGAGGAAGCAGUGGGGAAUAUUGCACAAUGGGCGCAAGCCUGAUGCAGCCAUGCCGCGUGUGUGAAGAAGGCCUUCGGGUUGUAAAGCACUUUCAGCGGGGAGGAAGGCGGUGAGUUUAAUAAGCUCACCGAUUGACGUUACCCGCAGAAGAAGCACCGGCUAACUCCGUGCCAGCAGCAGCCGCGG